GAUGAACGCUGGCGGCGUGCCUAAUACAUGCAAGUCGAGCGAACAGAUGAGGAGCUUGCUCCUCUGACGUUAGCGGCGGACGGGUGAGUAACAUGUGGAUAACCUACCUAUAAGACUGGGAUAACUUCGGGAAACCGGAGCUAAUACCGGAUAAUAUAUUGAACCGCAUGGUUCAAUAGUGAAAGACGGUUUUGCUGUCACUUAUAGAUGGAUCCGCGCCGCAUUAGCUAGUUGGUAAGGUAACGGCUUACCAAGGCAACGAUGCGUAGCCGACCUGAGAGGGUGGUCGGCCACACGGGAAGUGAGACACGGUCCAGACUCCUACGGUAGGCAGCAGUAGGGAAUCUUCCGCAAUGGGCGAGAGCCUGACGGAGCAACGCGGCGUGAGUGAUGAAGGUCUUCGGAUCGUAAAACUCUGUUAUUAGGGAAGAACAAAUGUGUAAGUAACUAUGCACGUCUUGACGGUACCUAAUCAGAAAGCCACGGCUAACUACGUG
rnacentral:rRNA from 1 species